rnacentral:rRNA from 1 species
ACUCCUACGGGAGGCAGCAGUGGGGAAUAUUGCACAAUGGGCGCAAGCCUGAUGCAGCCAUGCCGCGUGUAUGAAGAAGGCCUUCGGGUUGUAAAGUACUUUCAGCAGUGAGGAAGGCGGGUACGUUAAUAGCGUGCUCGUUUGACGUUAGCUGCAGAAGAAGCACCGGCUAACUCCGUGCCAGCAGCCGCGGUAAUACGGAGGGUGCGAGCGUUAAUCGGAAUUACUGGGCGUAAAGCGCAUGCAGGUGGUUUGUUAAGUCAGAUGUGAAAGCCCGGGGCUCAACCUCGGAAUUGCAUUUGAAACUGGCAGACUAGAGUACUGUAGAGGGGGGUAGAAUUUCAGGUGUAGCGGUGAAAUGCGUAGAGAUCUGAAGGAAUACCGGUGGCGAAGGCGGCCCCCUGGACAGAUACUGACACUCAGAUGCG